GUCCCCGCCGGCGACGGUUGUGCCGGCAGCCCGUCCACCGGGACGAAGUCAGGCACGCGCCCGGCUUCCGCAAACUUCCUCGUCCAACUGGGAACGGGGUUCCUUCCCCGCGGGGUUCCGUCUCCCUGGCCGUUUCCUUUCUGGUCGAAUUGUUGGCGACGGGGUGGGUGGGCCCGGAAUGGAGCUCCCCAUCGCCUCGCAACCUCCCAGAAUUUUUCGUCCGUUCUUUUUCUAUUCCUCUUCCGCCAAACUUAUUUGGCGUCCCUGGAAAGUUUAUCCCAGGUGCCCCGCCCCAUUAGUGUUCGAGACCAAAAUAGGAAGUAAAUCACACACCCACACACAAACCAGGAUGGAAGGACGGAAAGAAGGAAAAACCGCCGCAGGUGGUCAGCCUGGGGACGCAGACGGGAAUCUGGGUGGGGUGGGGUGCUGGGGACUUGUUGCUUGCCAGCCGUCACGUCCGUAGCGGCGCUCCGAACCCGGACCUACAGGACUGGUUCCGCUCUCAAUAAAGCAGCCUCCGGAGCAGAAGGAUUCAAGGAGCAUCGGUCAACAGGGAGGGAUGAAACACAAGGGACUGAACAGAGAAUAGAAAUUUGAAAGGUUUUUUUGUUUGUUUUGCCUCUAGAAGCCCUUGAGUAGUUUUUCUGAGGGGCUUUAGACCGACCGCAGCGUGCAGCUUUAAUUUUCCACUUGCCACAUUGAUUAACAAAUGAAAUUAAUUUCGCUAGUAUAUUUAACCACUUCAAUUUGUAAUCAGGCUAGGGAGCGGCAGGCAUAUUUCUUUUGAGUUCAAGGCCAGCCUGGUCUACAUAAUGAGGCCCUGUCUCAGAGGAAAACAAAAUCAAUUUCUAAUUCAUCAGUCGUUUUGUUUGCUUGGGUGAGUGGUGGUGGGUUUUUUUGUUUGUUUGUUUGUUUGUUUUUGUUUUUGUUUUUUUAAUUUAAUCAAGACAAGGUCUCACUGUGUAGCCCUGACCAGCCUGGAACUCAGAGAUCUGCCUGCCUCUGCCUCCCAAUGCUAGGAUUCAAGUCCUGCGAUGCCACACACAGCCAAGAUUGGUUUUUGUUUUGUUUUUUGUUGUUGUUUUUUCACUAUUUCAGAAGCCAGUGUUUAGGAGCUGGAGACAGAUCUCUCAGGUUAAGAGCAUUUGCUGAAAAGUAGCUCUUGGACAGGACCAGGGUUUAGCUAAUAACUCCAGUUCCGGAGGAUCUGACGCCCUCUUCUGGCUUCUGAGGAUACUGCAUGCAUGAGAAGGACCAAUCUGUAACAUCAACAAGCAGUGAGAAUGAGAUUUGCUGACUAAAUACUCCAUUUUUUACUCCUGAGGGACCAGUUCUGAGCAUCAGCCUCAGUUUUCAUCAGCCUUCAAACAUCAGAGGAAGAGUGAGUUCAUUUCCUUGAAGUUUAUUGACUCUUACCGGUGGCAGAGAAAAUUCCAUAAAAGAGCAGAUUCCAUAUGGAA